rnacentral:rRNA from 1 species
UACGUAGGGUGCGAGCGUUAAUCGGAAUUACUGGGCGUAAAGCGUGCGCAGGCGGUUCGUUAUGUCUGAUGUGAAAGCCCCGGGCUCAACCUGGGAAUGGCGAUGGAUACUGGGCAGCUAGAGUGUGUCAGAGGAUGGUGGAAUUCCCGGUGUAGCGGUGAAAUGCGUAGAGAUCGGGAGGAACAUCAGUGGCGAAGGCGGCCAUCUGGGACAACACUGACGCUGAAGCACGAAAGCGUGGGGAGCAAACAGG